UGCAGUCGAACGGACUUAACCAUUAGUUUACUAUUGGAGCGGUUAGUGGCGGACUGGUGAGUAACACGUAAGCAACCUGCCUAUCAGAGGGGAACAACAGUUAGAAAUGACUGCUAAUACCGCAUAUACCCAAGUGUCACAUGGCACAAUGGGGAAAGGAGCAAUCCGCUGAUAGAUGGGCUUGCGUCUGAUUAGCUAGUUGGUGGGGUAACGGCCUACCAAGGCGACGAUCAGUAGCCGGACUGAGAGGUUGAACGGCCACAUUGGGACUGAGAUACGGCCCAGACUCCUACGGGAGGCAGCAGUCGGGAAUAUUGCGCAAUGGAGGAAACUCUGACGCAGUGACGCCGCGUGCAGGAAGAAGGUUUUCGGAUUGUAAACUGCUUUAGACAGGGAAGAAACAAGACAGUACCUGUAGAAUAAGCUCCGGCUAACUACGUGCCAGCAGCCGCGGUAAUACGUAGGGAGCGAGCGUUAUCCGGAUUUAUUGGGUGUAAAGGGUGCGUAGACGGGAAAAUAAGUUAGUUGUGAAAGCCCUCGGCUUAACUGAGGAACUGCAACUAAAACUGUUUUUCUUGAGUACUGGAGAGGAAAGUGGAAUUCCUAGUGUAGCGGUGAAAUGCGUAGAUAUUAGGAGGAACACCAGUGGCGAAGGCGACUUUCUGGACAGAAACUGACGUUGAGGCACGAAAGUGUGGGGAGCAAACAGGAUUAGAUACCCUGGUAGUCCACACCGUAAACGAUGGAUACUAGGUGUAGGGGAUAAUAAAUUCUCUGUGCCGCCGCUAACGCAAUAAGUAUCCCACCUGGGGAGUACGGCCGCAAGGUUGAAACU
rnacentral:rRNA from 1 species